AGGACGAACGCUUGCGACGUGCCUAAGAAAUGCAAGUCGAACGGGGUAGCAAUACCUAGUGGCGAACGGUCGCGUAACACGUGGGCAACCUGCCCUGAAGCGGGGGACAACAACUCGAAAGAGUUGCUAAUACCGCAUGUGUAUCGGAAUGGCAUCAUUCAGGAUACAAAGCCACAAGGCACUUCAGGAUGGGCCCGCGGCCUAUCAGCUAGUUGGUGAGGUAACGGCCCACCAAGGCUUCGACGGGUAGCUGGUCUGAGAGGACGAUCAGCCGGAUUGGGACUGAGAUACGGCCCAGACUCCUACGGGGGCAGCAAUUAGGAAUCUUGCACAAUGGGCGAAAGCCUGAUGCAGCGACGUCGCGUGAAGGAUGAAAUCUUUCGGGAUGUAAACUUCUUUUUCGGGAAGAAAUCAAUGACGGUACCCGAAGAAUAAGCCCGGCUAACUACGUGCCAGCAGCCGC
rnacentral:rRNA from 1 species